CCUACGGGGGGCAGCAGUGAGGAAUAUUGGUCAAUGGCCGGAAGGCUGAACCAGCCAUGCCGCGUGAAGGUCAGUGCCCUAUGGGCGUUAAACUUCUUUUGUGCGGGAGCAAUAAUGGUCACGUGUGGCCAGACGAGAGUACCGUACGAAUAAGCAUCGGCUAACUCCGUGCCAGCAGCCGCGGUAAUACGGGGGAUGCAAGCGUUAUCCGGAUUUAUUGGGUUUAAAGGGUGCGUAGGCUGUGAGGUAAGUCAGCGGUGAAAUGCCCCCGCUCAACGGGGUGAAGUGCCAUUGAUACUGCCUUGCUGGAGUGCGGAUGCCGUAGGAGGAAUGUGUGGUGUAGCGGUGAAAUGCAUAGAUAUCACACAGAACACCGAUUGCGAAGGCAGCUCACGAAUCCGCGAUUGACGCUGAUGCACGAAAGCGUGGGUAUCAAACAGGAUUAGAUACCCGAGUAGUC
rnacentral:rRNA from 1 species